CUAUUGUUUGGUGCAUUUGAUGCUAUUUUAAUCAGUAUUAAUUGGUUACUUUGAUACCAUCUCUUCCUAAACUGAUCUCAAGAACGUUCCUCUCUCAGGGCUUUCCAUGCAAGGGGUCACAGGAACACAUAUUUGCAAAAGUGUCACUGUCUUCAGAAAUUCAGAGUGAGUGGAAUGAAAUUCCAUUGAGGCCCUGGGCUCAGACUGAUUCCAUUCUCUCUCCUUCUAGACAGCAGUAUUAAGCAACUCAACCCUGAAGACAUGGAUGAAAUUGAAAAGAUUGAAUAUUGAAGACAGAACUCUAUUGCUUGUGAAAUAUCCUAGUUUAUGUGAGAAUGUCCCAGUGGGUUUCGAAGGUAGACAUCUUUGUGUGGGCCCUGGGAUGUUGCGGGACUUCAUUUCCAGGAUCUGAGCACACCGUGCCACCUGUGAACAUGUCAGGGUCCACGAGAUGGCAGUAGGACCUCACUGGUUUGGGAAUGUGAGCUAGCGGGACAGAGAAGCCGUCCAGCUCCAGGCCUCCCUCAGGGGCCUGCUCCGCCAUGCAGGCACAAGCACGCGCGCGCGCACACACACACACACACCCCUUAGGUGGGAGUGCAGGGUGAAACCUUCAAAAAGUAAAACAAAUUUGAAAGAGAACAUUUUGCUUUUUUAAAUGUUUCAGUUGACAUACAGAAUGUGAAAAUAUUUUCUCUGCUUGGUUUCUUAAUGUCUUCAAAAUAGAGCAAAUUUAAUCCAUCAUCAGCUA